UACGGGGGGGGGCGAGCGUUGUUCGGAAUCACUGGGCGUAAAGGGCGCGUAGGCGGCCUUUCAAGUGACGGGUGAAAGCCCUCGGCUUAACCAAGGAACUGCCCUCCAAACUGCGUUGCUUGAGGCCGGGAGAGGUGAGUGGAAUUCCUGGUGUAGCGGUGAAAUGCGCAGAUAUCAGGAGGAACACCGGUGGCGAAGGCGGGUCUCUGGGCCGAUACUGACGCUGAGGAGCGAAAGCGUGGGGAGCGAACAGG
rnacentral:rRNA from 1 species